CUUGACUAGUGUCUCUGACUGCCUCUCUGCUGUUUCUAACUGGAUGGCUGCCCACUUCUUUAAACUAAACUUGACCAAAACUGAAAUUCUGGUCUUUCCUCCCUCAAGUGUCUGUGUCCCUCCAAGUCAAAGGUGCUACCAUCAGCUCCACCACGCUGCCUAGGUGUUCUCUUUGACUCCGACCUCUCCUUCAAACCUCAUGUUCAAUCUAUCGCCAAAUCCCGUCAUUUCCAUCUCAAAAACGUUGCGCGCAUUCGCCCCUACUUAACGCCAGAUGCG